CAUGCAAGUCGAACGAUGAAGCCCAGCUUGCUGGGUGGAUUAGUGGCGAACGGGUGAGUAACACGUGAGUAACCUGCCCUUGACUCUGGGAUAAGCCUGGGAAACUGGGUCUAAUACCGGAUAGGAACGUCCACCGCAUGGUGGGUGUUGGAAAGAUUUAUCGGUCAUGGAUGGACUCGCGGCCUAUCAGCUUGUUGGUGAGGUAAUGGCUCACCAAGGCGACGACGGGUAGCCGGCCUGAGAGGGUGACCGGCCACACUGGGACUGAGACACGGCCCAGACUCCUACGGGAGGCAGCAGUGGGGAAUAUUGCACAAUGGGCGAAAGCCUGAUGCAGCGACGCCGCGUGAGGGAUGACGGCCUUCGGGUUGUAAACCUCUUUCAGUAGGGAAGAAGCGAAAGUGACGGUACCUGCAGAAGAAGCACCGGCUAACUACGUGCCAGCAGCCGCGGUAAUACGUAGGGUGCGAGCGUUAUCCGGAAUUAUUGGGCGUAAAGAGCUCGUAGGCGGUUUGUCGCGUCUGUCGUGAAAGUCCGGGGCUUAACCCCGGAUCUGCGGUGGGUACGGGCAGACUAGAGUGCAGUAGGGGAGACUGGAAUUCCUGGUGUAGCGGUGGAAUGCGCAGAUAUCAGGAGGAACACCCGAUGGCGAAGGCAGGUCUCUGGGCUGUAACUGACGCUGAGGAGCGAAAGCAUGGGGAGCGAACAAGGAUUAGAUACCC
rnacentral:rRNA from 2 species